GACGAACGCUGGCGGCGUGCUUAACACAUGCAAGUCGAACGGAAAGGCCCUGCUUUUGUGGGGUGCUCGAGUGGCGAACGGGUGAGUAACACGUGAGUAACCUGCCCUUGACUUUGGGAUAACUUCAGGAAACUGGGGCUAAUACCGGAUAGGAGCUCCUGCUGCAUGGUGGGGGUUGGAAAGUUUCGGCGGUUGGGGAUGGACUCGCGGCUUAUCAGCUUGUUGGUGGGGUAGUGGCUUACCAAGGCUUUGACGGGUAGCCGGCCUGAGAGGGUGACCGGCCACAUUGGGACUGAGAGAGGGCCCAGACGCCUACGGGAGGCAACAGUGGGAAAUAUUGCGCAAUGGGCGGAAGCCUGAUGCAGCGACGCCGCGUGCGGGAUGCCGGCCUUCGGGUUAUAAACCGCUUUCGCCUGUGACGAGGCGUGAGUGACGGUAAUGGGUAAAAAAGCACCGGCUAACUACGUG
rnacentral:rRNA from 1 species